UGCAAAUUUGCUGAGCUGAAGGAGAAGAUUGAUUGUCAUUCUGGGAAAAAGCUGGAAGAUGGCCCUAAGUUUUUGAAAUCUGGUGAUGCUGCCAUCGCUGAUAUGGUGCCUGGCAAGCCCAUGUGUGUUGAGAGCUUCUCUGAUCUGCCCAGAAAGCUCAGAAGGCUAAAUGAAUAUUAUCCCCAAUACCUGCCACCCCAGUCUUAAUCAGUGGUGGAAGAACGAUCUCAGAACUGUUUGUCUCAAUUGGCCAUUUAAGUUUAAUAGUAAAAGACUGGUUAAUGAUUACAAUGCAUCGUAAAACCUUCAGAAGGAAAGGAGAA